AGCCUGGGUUAUCCAGGUGGACCCAAAGUAAUCACCGGAGUCUUUAAAAGCAGAGAACUUUCUCCACCUGCCAUCAGAAAGAGAUGUGUUAAAAGAGAGUAGAAGAGAUGAGGCAGAAGGUGAACCAGGGAGAUUCAAAAUGUAGGAAGGACUCGGACUAUCACUGCAGCGUUUGAUGGUGGGAGAAGGAACUUACAAGCCAAGGAAUGCGGGUAACCUUGAGAAGCUGAGAACAACCCAAUGAGGACAUGGGGAACCUCAGUCCUACACUGCAUACAACUGAAUUCUGCCAACAUCCUGAGCGAGCCUGGGAGCCGAUUCUUCCCUCAGAACCUCCUGAACAGAACAUAGCCUUGCUGACGUCUUUAUUCCGGGCUUGUGAUGCUCUAAGCAAAGUAUCCAGUCAAGUCUGCUGGACGUCUGACCUACAAACAGCACCUGGAGUCAGUCCUAGCAGCAGCCCCGCUCUGACCAUACCCGCUGAAGGCGUGCCAAGACAAUUCAAUGAGGAAAGAAGAGUCUUUUCAACAAAUGGUGCUGGGACAUCUGGAUAUCCACAAAGUCGCAGAGGAUGGAAGUCUGAAAUCAAGAGGUUGGCAGGAUCAUGCUCUCUCCGAAGCCUCCAGUUGAUGUGAAGAUGAUUUCGGAUCACACAGAUAAUACCCACAAAGGCAUACACGUUAUGAGUUCUCAAAAUUUCUCUACAGGGUGAGACAUGCUCCGGGGAAGGCUUAUCAGAACAUCCAGCAGGAGAACAAAUAUGGGCUGACAACGCACUAAAAUUGCACGUUUUACGAGGGACUAAAAUAUAACUCUUGUGCACUGAUGGUGAUUGCCUGUGUCUAGUGUACUCUAUGAGACAAGGCAGAAGCUCAGUGGACAUUUGUUGAACAACUAAAGAAAUGUAUGACUGAAGAAGGAAUAAUUAAUAUAAUGAAAAAUACAUGACCUCCAAUCGUUAAACAUGGUUUAUAUCAUUCCAGCCAAUCUCGGUACCUAGAGACCUGGUUUCUAUUUUUCAACUUUGGAUUAUACUCUAUUCAGUAUCAUUUUGUUAUUGUUAAACUGAUUGGUCUAUACGAGCAUUUUCUAAGUGAUUAAAAAUUCUUUUAAGCAUGAUAUUAGUGAGUAGGCAAUAUCCACUAAUAUGAUAUUUCUAUAUCAUAUUCUGAUAUGAAUGUUCUGCCAUUAAAAAAAUCUUUUUAUUCUUCAAUUUAUAUGUUGUUUUCUAAUUUUUUCACAUGUGUAAUUAAUAAUUACAAAGAAUACAUAUAUAUUUAUUAUUUGAUUAUUUCCUUAGUGCACCUUGGUGGAAGGACAUUUACUGACUUAACAUGCACACAUAUUUUAAGGCAGAUGAUAUGUAUGCAAAAUGGCCCUCUAGAAAGGGUUUUCCAAUUAAUUUUUGACAAGCAGUGUUAAGGCGCUUUUUAUACAAAACUUUAGCCAAUACUGAAGAGAAAUUGUUUUUUCCUGUUUGAUAGUUGAAAAUGAAAUCUCAUUUUUAUUUCUCUAAUAACUCA
rnacentral:lncRNA from 1 species